UACGUAGGGUGCAAGCGUUGUCCGGAAUUAUUGGGCGUAAAGAGCUCGUAGGCGGUCUGUCGCGUCGGAUGUGAAAACUCGGGGCUCAACCCCGAGCCUGCAUUCGAAACGGGCAGACUAGAGUUCGGUAGGGGAGACUGGAAUUCCUGGUGUAGCGGUGAAAUGCGCAGAUAUCAGGAGGAACACCGGUGGCGAAGGCGGGUCUCUGGGCCGAUACUGACGCUGAGGAGCGAAAGCGUGGGGAGCGAACAGG
rnacentral:rRNA from 1 species